AGAGAUUGAAUCUUUUUUUUUUUUGGGGGGGUUAUUUUUUCAACUUUUAAUUCUUCUUCUCUUUACGAUUGAAAUUGAUUAAAAAUCUCAUGAAAACCAAUGAAAUUUAGCAUUAUCACAUGAAGCUACCAUCUUUAUCAAUGGUGAUUAAUGGGCUAAGAAUCAAAUAGCAAGAACACCCCAUAAAAACAAAUAGACCCCAAAAUAUAUUUGAAAGAAUUGAAAUAGAAAGAGAACAAUACCGUCGCUGGAGG
rnacentral:misc_RNA from 1 species